UACGUAGGGUGCAAGCGUUGUCCGGAAUUAUUGGGCGUAAAGAGCUCGUAGGCGGUUUGUCGCGUCGGCUGUGAAAACCUGAGGCUCAACCUCGGGCCUGCAGUCGAUACGGGCAAACUAGAGUGCGGUAGGGGAGAUUGGAAUUCCUGGUGUAGCGGUGAAAUGCGCAGAUAUCAGGAGGAACACCGGUGGCGAAGGCGGGUCUCUGGGCAGUAACUGACGCUGAGGAGCGAAAGCGUGGGGAGCGAACAGG
rnacentral:rRNA from 1 species